CUGGAAGGCGGUGUUCGGCGAAGUCCGUUGCCUUCUAUCGUGGAGAGAGUGGAUGCCGAAACCACGCAUCGUUGCAAAAUCCACUUCAGUGAGAACAGAUAUCAAAGAAUAUUUUUUACUUUUUAAGUCACUAAGUGUGAUGACUUUGCAGCCAUCACUGCCAAUGAGAAGUGCCAUAUUGGCAACUACCUCAUACUCAACAUCAUUGGGAAGGGAUGCUUUGGAGAGGUGAGGCUGGCUCGGCACGUUGUCACCAGCACAGAGAUGGCUGUGAAAGUUGUCAACUGGCAGAGUUUCUCUGAUGUUCUCCAAGAGAUUCAUUCUCUUAAGGAACUAGAUCAUCUUAAUAUCACCAAGAUGUUUGAAGUCAUUACCACCGAGGACCAAGUAUAUCUCUUCAUGGAACAUGCCAAUGAAGAAACAUUAUUCGACUACUGAGAGAACUGUGGCCCCAUGACGGAAAAGGAAGCCCAAGCUCUGUUCCAACCAUUACUAUCAGUCGACCAUUACUGUCACCAGAGAACAUCAUACAUCAGGAUCUAAAGCUGGAGAACAUACUUCUAGAUGGUGAGAUGAAUGUUAAAUUAGCAGACUUUGGCCUCAGUAGGGUAUUUAUGGAAGAGAAACUGACUACCUUCUGUCGCACUACCCCCUAUAUGGCCCCAGAGUUGUUCUGGUUCGAACUCUACGAGGGCUUGAAGAUGGACGUCUGAAACAUGGGGGUAGUGCUCUAGAGGAUGGUGACAGGAGAACUUCCAUUUGUGGUGAAGAAUUUUGACG